rnacentral:tRNA from 1 species
GGGGAUUUAGCUCAGCGGUAGAGCGCUUGCCUAGCAAGCGCAAGGUCCUGGGUUCAGUCCCCA